GGGGUUGUGGCUCAGAGGAAGAGCACUCUCUUAGCAUGCGUGAGGCACUGGGUUUGAUUCUCAGCCCCA
rnacentral:tRNA from 1 species